rnacentral:rRNA from 1 species
UGAUGCGACCAUGUCAUUUAGAAAGCACAUAUUCUCCUCCGAUCACCGAAGUUAAACUAUGUCGAACUGGUUUAAUGCUUACAAAGGAGACCAGCUGGGAAUACCCGGUGUUGUUGGCU